ACGAACGCUGGCGGCGUGCCUAAUACAUGCAAGUCGAGCGGAAUGAUGAAGAAGCUUGCUUCUUCUGAUUUUAGCGGCGACGGGUGAGUAACACGUGGGCAACCUACCUUGUAGAUUGGGAUAACUCCGGGAAACCGGGGCUAAUACCGAAUAAUCCAUUUUGCUUCAUGGCGAGAUGUUGAAAGACGGUUUCGGCUGUCACUACAAGAUGGGCCCGCGGCGCAUUAGCUAGUUGGUGAGGUAAUGGCUCACCAAGGCGACGAUGCGUAGCCGACCUGAGAGGGUGAUCGGCCACACUGGGACUGAGACACGGCCCAGACUCCUACGGGAGGCAGCAGUAGGGAAUCUUCCACAAUGGACGAAAGUCUGAUGGAGCAACGCCGCGUGAGUGAAGAAGGUUUUCGGAUCGUAAAACUCUGUUGUAAGGGAAGAACACGUACGAGAGUAACUGCUCGUACCUUGACGGUACCUUAUUAGAAAGCCACGGCUAACUACGUG
rnacentral:rRNA from 1 species